CUGGGACAUAUGUAAUAUAUAAAUAUAUAAAUAUAUAUAAAGCAUUAACCUCUGUCCCCUUGGUUUAGGAUGGAGGCCUUUCUGUUAAGUGGAAAUGCACCCUAGCUUGGUGCUGCCAGCAGCCUGCAGGCCCCAGCCCUGUUGAGAUUAAUACAGUUGACAAUAAAGGAAUGAGUAUCAUUGUGGAGUCGCUUGCCUGCUUCUCUCCCUUUGCCUCUUCCAUCCUCCAUUUCCCUCUUCAUGUUUGCCUCUCUCUCCAGCUUUUUCAGCAAGGGCUCAAAAGUAUUUGGAGGCCUCUGCAGCGAUCAGAACAUCAGAGAAGAAAUAACUGCUCAAUGAAAGGAUGUCUGUAGAGCUGGUGGCUUGCAUAGCAUGUUCAAGGCACUGUUCCAUUCCUGGCAUGGGAAGAAAAAGAUAAUAGAUAGACUAGGUGUGAGUUAUGGAGUUGCUUCAGACUGCCUACAGCCUCUAAAUUGUGAUUGUCUUGUGCUCUAUGAGGGCGUGAUUUUUGCCAGCUGCAUAUAUUUUAUGUUUGGAAUUCUGGGGACUCUUGAGAGGGUAUAAAUGUGAGAGCCCCAGAGGGCUUGUGGCAGCUGCUGUUCCCUCUGCUGCUGCUGCUUUUGCUCUUGUUGCAUUGCUGAAUUUCUGGUUGGAGGUAUCCUGAUGACUGAGAUUGGACUCGCCCCAAGGAGCCUGCUGAGCCUAAUCAGCAGGAAGUAGUCUAAAAGGUAUUUUUCUUACACUGUGGUCCAAGCACUACUUAUAUUGAAAUGAAUAAUCUCAGUAGGGCACAGUGGCCCACAUCUGUAAUCCCAGCACUGGAAAGGCAGAAGCAGGAUCAUUGCAAGUUCAAGGCAAAAUUGAUCUCCAUAGCAAACUUCAGGAAUUGUGAACGCUGCUGUGCUCACCCUGGAGCAGUGAUUCCUCUUCUACACCUUGUAGGCACCCUCAGCUGAAGGAUGUGACAGUCCUCUUUGAUGUGCAAAGCAGGCUGCUUCUCUCUUCACUACUACCGCCAUCAAGGCUGGUAGCUGCUGCUGUUUUGACAAUUUACAGUUGUUCAUAGCCCUUUCUUCCUGCCAAAUUAAACACGUAUGUUGACUGCAUUUUGUUCCUGUUAGGAAUUGGAAAAAAUUAAAAUAAAAAAGGAGUCUGUGCAGAAAACGGAA